rnacentral:tRNA from 1 species
UCUGUUUUGUUGUAGGGAUGCAUAAUGGCUUUUCGUGUCUUUGGGGGUAGCGAUGUUUACCAAGCAGUA